rnacentral:rRNA from 1 species
UACGGAGGGUGCAAGCGUUGUCCGGAUUCACUGGGUUUAAAGGGUGCGUAGGAGGGCAGGUAAGUCCGUGGUGAAAUCUCCAAGCUUAACUUGGAAACUGCCAUGGAUACUAUCUGUCUUGAAUAUUGUGGAGGUGAGCGGAAUAUGUCAUGUAGCGGUGAAAUGCUUAGAUAUGACAUAGAACACCAAUUGCGAAGGCAGCUCGCUACACAUAUAUUGACUCUGAGGCACGAAAAGCGUGGGGAUCAAACAGG